rnacentral:lncRNA from 1 species
GUGGCGGCAUAUUUUCAUUAUAUUGCUCAAAGAAAUCUAUUGUUUGAGACUUUCACUGUAUAUGAAAAGGAUGGUUUCUUCGAGUAGAAAAAGAGAGCUCACUGUGUUGGAAAUCAAGAUGAUUCACACUCACAAAUUAUUCUAUAGAAGAAAAGUGCAGAGGAUUUUAAGCACACAUGAAUAAUUUGUAUUCCACUUAAUUCAAAAAACAACUAGAGUAUAUGGAUAUUUAUAGGCAUCAUUAGAUGGUCUUUUAACCGUCCUAAUUGAAUUAGUCAUUACACCAUUCAUAACCCCAAAUAAAUCUCAAAUAACUCCCUCUAAAUAAAUUCCUUAUAACUCCAUGUAACUCCUACAUGACUAAAAACCCAAAAGACAUGUAACUUCUCACCAUACUAAUAUGCAAUUACAG